rnacentral:rRNA from 1 species
AUGUGAAAUGACUCUCGGCAACGGAUAUCUCGGCUCUUGCAUCGAUGAAGAACGUAGCGAAAUGCGAUACUUGGUGUGAAUUGCAGAAUCCCGUGAACCAUCGAGUCUUUGAACGCAAGUUGCGCCCAAAGCCAUUAGGCUGAGGGCACGCCUGCCUGGGUGUCACAC